UUCAAUUUUAAUAAAUUAUUUUUAUUUAUUAUAUACUUUUUUCUGAAUUUUUUAAUUUUUUUAAUUAUUUGGUGUCCCACAAUAUAACAUCUUUUUUUUCUUUUUUCCUUUUUUCCUUUUUUUCUUUUUUUCAUUUUUUCUUUUUUUUUUAAAGCACUAUAAUAGCCAAUCUAACUUUUUACAUAUUUCAUUAUGAAGUUUAUAUUUGUGUUACUUUUUAAUUUUAUAAUUUUAUUGCCCUUUUGUGAUGUGGUAAACACUAGUGAAGCGACUGGAAAACAAAAAAAAAACUAUCCAAGUUCUCCUAUUAAAUAUGAUAAGUAUUUUUUACGUAGUCAAUGUAAAACCACAAGACUGCAUUCCGGUGAAAAAGGUUUAAUAAGUAAUUCAAGCACAAAUAACACUGUAUUCGUUUUAUACUUCUAUGCGACAUGGUGCCACGCGUGUAAACUGCAGUCAGCAGAAAUUGAUAAAUUAGAAAAGUUCAUGAAAACAGGAGUGCGCGUAAUAAAAAUUGACAUAGAUAAAAAUGAAAAAUUGGGUAGAAAAUUUGAUAUAAAUGUCCUACCUACAAUUAUUAUAAUAAAAAAUAAAAUUAUUUAUGAAAGAAAACAACGAUUUAUGCCAUAUAAUACUUUAAGUACACUAGUUAGGAAAUACUUAUAAGCGAUCUAUAUACGUUUAUUAUUUUUUUAAUUUGUUUUUUAUUUUUUUUUCCUGCUUCUUAUAUAUCCUUAUUGUUUCUUAUUUAAUUAUUUGUUUAUUUUUAAUCUUUCUUUUCGGCUUGUAACUUCAUUACUUUAAAUAAAAGUUUGCUUUUUUUUUCA
rnacentral:lncRNA from 1 species